rnacentral:rRNA from 1 species
UACGUAGGGGGCAAGCGUUGUCCGGAAUCAUUGGGCGUAAAGCGCGUGUAGGCGGCUUCGUCAGUCCGUUGUGAAAGUCCAGGGCUCAACCCUGGAAUGCCGAUGGAUACUGCGGAGCUCGAGUCCGGAAGAGGCAAGUGGAAUUCCUGGUGUAGCGGUGAAAUGCGCAGAUAUCAGGAGGAACACCGAUGGCGAAGGCAGCUUGCUGGGACGGUACUGACGCUGAGACGCGAAAGCGUGGGGAG